GACGAACGCUGGCGGCGUGCUUAACACAUGCAAGUCGAACGGAAAGGCCCUGCUUUUGUGGGGUGCUCGAGUGGCGAACGGGUGAGUAACACGUGAGUAACCUGCCCUUGACUUUGGGAUAACUUCAGGAAACUGGGGCUAAUAUAGGAUAGGAGCUCCUGCUGCAUGGUGGGGGUUGGAAAGUUUCGGCGGUUGGGGAUGGACUCGCGGCUUAUCAGCUUGUUGGUGGGGUAGUGGCUUACCAAGGCUUUGACGGGUAGCCGGCCUGGGAGGGUGAACGGGCACAUUGGGACUGAGGUACGGCGCAGACUCCUACGGUAGGCAGCAGGGGGGAGUAUGGCACAGUGGGCGGGAGCCUGAUGCGGCGGCGCCGCGUGCGGAAUGACGGCUUUCGGGGUGUGAACCGCUUUCGCCUGUGACGAAGCGUGAGUGACGGUAAUGGGUAAAGAAGCACCGGCUAACUACGUG
rnacentral:rRNA from 1 species